AAUUUCGGAGAGGGAGCAUGAGAAACGGCUACCACAUCUAAGGAAGGCAGCAGGCGCGUAAAUUACCCAAUCCUGACUCAGGGAGGUAGUGACAAGAAAUAGCAAACCGGGAACCUCAUGGUUUCACGGUAUUGCAAUGAGAACAAUUUAAAACCCUUAGCGAGAAUCAAGUGGAGGACAAGUCUGGUGCCAGCACCCGCGGUAAUUCCAGCUCCACUAGCGUAUAUUAAAGUUGUUGCAGUUAAAAAGCUCGUAGUUGAACCUCUGUCUGGGGCUAGUUUUGGCUUUGGUCAGGCUAGUUCUAGGCAUCCGCCUACAAGACUUAGAGGGCAUUCAGUUGUUCACUAGGAGGAGUAGGCAUUUUACUUUGAAAAAAUUAGAGUGUUUAAGGCAGGCAAUCGCCCGCAUAUAUUAGCAUGGAAUAAUAGAAUAGGACACUUUUCCAUUUCGUUGGUUAUUGGAAUCGUGUAAUGAUUAAUAGGGACAGUUGUGGGCAUUUGUAUUUAGUUGUCAGAGGUGAAAUUCUUGGAUUUAUUAAAGACAAACUAACGCGAAAGCAUUUGCCAAGGAUGUUUUCAUUAAUCAAGAACGAAAGUUAGGGGAUCAAAGACGAUCAGAUACCGUCCUAGUCUUAACUAUAAACUAUUCCGACUCAAUGUUUGACUGGCUUAUAUAACCAGUUGAGCGUUGUAUGAGAAAUCAAAGUCCUCAGGUUCUGGGGGGAGUAUGGUUGCAAAGCUGAAACUUAAAGGAAUUGACGGAAGAGCACAACCAGGAGUGGAUUCUGCGGCUUAAUUUGACUCAACACGGGGAAACUUACCAGGUUAAAACAAUAGUGGGAUUGACAGUUUGAGAGCGCUUUCUUGAUUGGUUGGGUGGUGGUGCAUGGCCGUUCUUAGUUGGUGGAGUGAUUUGUCUGCUUAAUUGCGUUAACGAACGAGACCUUAACCUGCUUACUAGACUGGCGAUCAUCAAUCGUUAGCUCUUCUUAGAGGGACUUUGGUUGUUUUAACUCCAAGGAAGUUUGAGGCAAUAACAGGUCUGUGAUGCCCUUAGAUAUCCUGGGCCGCACGCGUCAUACAAUGACUAGUUCAGAAAGUUUUCUCCUGACCCGAAAGGGGAUGGGUAAUCUUGAUAAUACUAGUCGUGUUAGGGAUCGAUCUUUGCAAUUAUAGAUCUUGAACGAGGAAUUCCUAGUAAGUGCGGUUCAUCAGACCGUACUGAUUACGUCCCUGCUCUUUGUACACACCGCCCGUCGCUUCUACCGAGUGGGUGGUCCGGUGAGAUAAUUGAACUUCGCAGGUAACUGAGAGGAAAGAUUAUCAAACCUAUCCACCUCGAGGAAGAAGAAGUCGUAACAAGGUU
rnacentral:rRNA from 1 species